UNCGGGAGGCAGCAGUGGGGAAUAUUGGACAAUGGACCAAAAGUNUGAUCCAGCAAUUCNGUGUGCACGAUGAAGGUCUUCGGAUUGUAAAGUGCUUUCAGUGGGGAAGAAGAAAGUGACGGUACCCACAGAAGAANCGACGGCUAAAUACGUGCCAGCAGCGGCGGUAAUANGNAUGUNGCAAGUUUUAUCAGGAAUUAUNGGNAGUAAAGCGAGUGUAGGCGGCUUGUUAAGUAAGAAAAGAAAAUGCGGGGCUCAACUCAGUAUUGCGUUUGAAACUGGCAGGCUAGAGUACUGGAGAGGUGGGCGGAACCACAAGUGGAGAGGAGAAAUUCGUAGAUAUUNGUAAGAAUNCGGAUAGAGAAGACAGCUCACUGGACAGAUACUGACGGUAAAGCUNGAAAGNGNGGGGAGCAAACAGGAUUAGAUACCCUGGUAGUCCACGCNGUAAACGAUGUUCACNGGGUGUAGGGGGUCGACCCUCAGUGCCGCAGCUAACGCGNUAAG
rnacentral:rRNA from 1 species